rnacentral:lncRNA from 1 species
CAGUUGUUGGGUUGUUUCCUUGGCCAGUUGCCCUAUUGCCUAGCAAGUGCGUGAACAUGGAGUUGUGUCUGUCAUGAAUGUGGCUCUGGUUUUAGUUUUACUUAUUUUUUUUCCCUGUCUUUCAUUCAUUUUGAGUAUGUUGUUCUCCUAUUAAAAUUCAGUUUGCACUUGUUUGCAAUUUGUUUACUUUGUUGGAUUUUUAAAACUUGUUAGUAGUCAAUUGAACAUGUAUAUUAAACCCUUUUUAGGCCAACAAAAAUAAAGAUGCAUUAGAAAGAUGCCUUUUAUGCUUCAUAAUUAUUAAUUGACAUUUUAUGAUGAAUAAUUAAUCAUUUGAAUAAUUUUGGUAUCUCUGAUCUGAACACAUAUUUGCAUAUCUAAUGCUUGAUUUUAACUGUGUGUUUUUAAAAAAAUUCAUUCUCUCAGGACGAAGAAACAAAAUAACAUUUUAAUGUAAAAUUUCUCUUCAACACUUGUAAAAGUUUUUUUUAUUGAGUUGUACUAUUCUUUCUAGGUAUCCAUAAAACUUCUUGACACUUUGUAAAUCAUUAAUGUAGCAAUCAUAUACAAACAUGUGACAGACUGCAAUUAAUUAGGAAAAACAAUACCCUAUGUAAAAUCAAGUCACUCUCCUCCCCAAAGGAAGAGAUGUGCACUAAUUAUGCACCAUUUUUUCUUACUGGAAUUUGGUUAUUGAACUUUUUGGUUAUGUC